rnacentral:rRNA from 1 species
UUAGUGGCGGACGGGUGAGUAACACGUGGAUAACCUGCCGUAUACAGGGGGAUAACACUUAGAAAUAGGUGCUAAUACCGCAUAAGCGCACGGUUCCGCAUGGAACAGUGUGAAAAACUCCGGUGGUAUACGAUGGAUCCGCGUCUGAUUAGCCAGUUGGCGGGGUAACGGCCCACCAAAGCGACGAUCAGUAGCCGGCCUGAGAGGGUGAACGGCCACAUUGGGACUGAGACACGGCCCAAACUCCUACGGAAGGCAGCAG